CGGCGAGAGUGUGGCGUCUGCAUACUGCAUAACUUGAGCGUUCUAACCUAAAAUCUUUUCUAUUUCUAUUGUAUUUAUAUUUACUACAGUAUUUUUUAGUUUUGAUUUAUUGAAUAUUGUAUUAAAAGGUUUGAAGCUACAACCGUAAAACUGCAAAUUAUCUUUUAAAAAUGAUAUUUUAAUAGCUAGUUCAUUUUUUAUAUGCCUACUUUUAAAAUGGAAAAAACUUUAUUUUUCAAGAAAACGUUGAGUGAAUUUUUGAGUCACCUUAACAGCCAUAGUGUAGCUUCAGCAUCAAAAUUUCUUACCAUCAAAUCGCAAAAGAGCUUCAGCGUUGAGAAAGUUUCUCCAUCCAAAAAACAACGUAUUUGUUGGAAAGAUGGAACUCCAUACUUUAAUUUUGGAUACAGACAAUAUCAAUGUCAACAUGGCAAGGAUAUGAAUUUAUCUGCUAAAAAGAGAUAUUGUGAGAAAAAGGAGAAAGAGUUUCGAAACCACUGUCACCUUCUAAUUCGUAUCCUCACCUACGUCCACCCCACCUUUAAUAGGAGACUGCAAGGUAUCAAUCAAGAUUUGCAACCUGGUUUAUUUGGCUGUUAUGAAUUCUUCCACAAAAAGAUAUUAUGUAACGCAAACGACAAAAAAGUUAAACUGCCCUGCACACUUCUGGGUCUACAGAGUUAUUUGGAUGCCAGAAUACAAGCUUUCAGGUUUACUUUAUCGAAAGCAUGCAAGGAAAAAGAUAUCAGACAUGAUAAUGAAGAAAUUGGAAAAUGGAGAGAGUGUUGGAGAAGAUGGUUUCAUUUACAAUCUACCAAGUGCUGAAGAGCACUCUAAUCAUCCAGUUGGCGACAGGGCUGUUGUGAAGGAACCAGUAGACAGCCGAGUAAGGGAUUAUAUACGCCAAUUGGUUCACAAGGGAGAAACAAAUCCUAUAGUCAUUAUGAAGAUGCUUGAAACAUUCGUUGAAAGCCAACUAAAUGAAAGAAACAGACAUAGAAGAAGAUUUUAUCCAAACUUAGCAACUGUUAGAAGAAUAGUUUCUAGGCAAAAAUCGAAAUUAAAUAAUAAAGCCUUGAACCAAUUGAUCAACGACGACAACGGCAUUGAUUCAGUGAUGGAAGAAAUAAUAAUCAAUGAAGAGGUCAUCAUCACGAAUGGAUACGAUUUUGCAGGAGAAUUAACAGAAAAUGGAGAGUUAACUACAGAAGAGUUUACUACAGAAGAGUUCACUACUGAAGAGCUAACUACUAAAGAGUUAACUACAGAAGAAUUAACUAUAGAAGAGCUAACUACAGAAGAGUUAGCUGCAGAAGAGGUUCAAGAACUUCCACUGAGUGGUAGCAAACGUAUUCUGCUUAUGAAUGAAUUCAAUUCGAUUAUGAGUUCAUUACAGUCUUCAGCAUUGAACUUGAGUGAUAGUGAUUUACGUGAUUGUAUUGAUGGCUUGAAAACUGUUUACAAAAGCACUUUGUGUGAAGUUUCUGUUGGAGAAAGUAUGCGUGAUUUAGCGGUUGAACCAGAGACCAAAUCUAGCCUUACCAGUCAGAGCAUACAGCAGUCACUUAUACUCGAAAGAGCAUUAGAUUUCCAACGGACUUCUAACAAAAAUGCUGGACUUCAUCCAGAAGAAUCUUCCAAUUCGGAUAUUGAAGAUUCACUGAUUGUAGUGAUUGUGAAAUAACA
rnacentral:misc_RNA from 1 species